AUAACCAUAUUAGUAUUAGUUAUGAUCUUGAAAUUGAAAAGAUUUGGCGGUAAUUUAGUCUUUUCAGAGGAGCCUGUUCUGUAAUCGAUGAUCCACGAUGGAUUUUACUUAAAGUUUAGCUUGUAUAUCUCUGUCAUUGAGUGUUUUAUUAGAAUUAUUUUCUUUAAAUAUUAAUUUAUAUAAUGUCAGGUCAAGGUGCAACAAUAUUUAAGGUUGAAAUGGGCUACAUUUAAUGUAAUUUAUUGGUAUAUUUGUUGUAAUAUAAAUGUUAAAUAGGAUUUGAAAGUAAUUAUUAAUAAUGAUUCUAGCUCUAAAUUAUGCACACAUCACCCUUCACUCUCAUUUUAAGAUGAGAUAAGUCGUAACAAAGUAAU
rnacentral:rRNA from 1 species